rnacentral:rRNA from 1 species
UACGAGGGGGGCGAGCGUUGUCCGGAAUCAUUGGGCGUAAAGAGCGUGUAGGCGGCUUGGUAAGUCCGCUGUGAAAGUCCAGGGCUCAACCCUGGAAUGCCGGUGGAAACUGUCAAGCUUGAGUCCGGAAGAGGCGAGUGGAAUUCCUGGUGUAGCGGUGAAAUGCGCAGAUAUCAGGAGGAACACCAAUGGCGAAGGCAGCUCGCUGGGACGGUACUGACGCUGAGACGCGAAAGCGUGGGGAGCAAACAGG